UACAGAGGUCUCAAGCGUUGUUCGGAUUCAUUGGGCGUAAAGGGUGCGUAGGCGGCGCGGUAAGUCGGGUGUGAAAUUUCGAGGCUUAACUUCGAAACUGCAUUCGAUACUGCCGUGCUAGAGGACUGGAGAGGAGACUGGAAUUUACGGUGUAGCGGUGAAAUGCGUAGAUAUCGUAAGGAAGACCAGUGGCGAAGGCGACUUCCUGGUCUGUUACUAACACUGAGGCACGAAAGCGUGGGGAGCAAACAGG
rnacentral:rRNA from 1 species